rnacentral:rRNA from 1 species
ACUGUGGGUUCCACCUUCCACACUACCCAAUCAUACUUGAUUUCAGAAGCUAAGCAGGGCAUGGACUUGGUUAGUACUUAGAUUGGAGACCAUCAGAGCAUACUGAAGACCUCCAGGC